UCCAUCUUGCUUGCAUCACAAAAGCCCCACGUGUUCAUCUCCUAGGCAUUGCCAUGUCUUCCCAACUAAACCAGAUGAGUGAUAAAGCUUUCUCGAUCUGAACAUGAAAGCCAAUCUGUAGCCUGGAGUAAACAGCUGUGAACAGAAUGUCCAGGAAGAAGCCUCGGGAUCGCCAUCUGAGUAUGUCCAGCCCCUUUUCGUAAAUGUCUUGCUGCCGAGCCUAGGAGAGAUGCCACUCUUGGUAUGAUGCUGUCUGGUAUGAUGCUAGCUCCUCUGUCUCAGGACAGCUGUGGCUGCCAGGGUUCCACACACCCAGCUGAGUGGUCCGAGCAACAGCAUUACUUGUUCACAUGGGACGGUGCCUUUUAGCCAGGAGUAGGCACCAGAUGAGAUUCCUGGAUGCUGGGGACUGGCUGGCUGAUCAUCUUAUUUGGGUCUUAUGUUGGAGUCCAGAGAGGGCAAGGCUUAGCCCAGAGCAUGGCACAAGCUCAGCAAACACUCUAUCCCAACACCAGUGUCUAACUGAGUGAGAGACAAAGAAUUGGGGGGUGGGGAUCCUGAAGACCCUGUCAUGGAGGAGCCAAGGGCAUCCCCUCGAGUAACAUCACAUGGCCAUUGAAAAUAAAUAUGGGUGGGUUUAUGA